CGGGUGAGCCGGGUGAUCGCUGGCUAGAGCCGAGAAGUGGCAGCGUAAAGCCGCCGUUACGAGGCCGAAGCGGGAGGAAAGUCCGGACACCGUCCUGAGGCAUGGCAGGUGCGCGAGCGCCGGCCAGCACUCAUGACAUGGGCGACGCGCCUGAUAACGUCAGGGGGCUGGCCACGCAGGCUCUGCCGCGAGGCAGAGUUGCACGCGAAAGCGCGCAGCAUUCCGGUUAGACCGAAACGCGGUGCGGCUAAGCUACGGAUAGUGCCACAGAGAAUAGACCGCCGGCGGAGCGAGCACGGUGGCAGUCACGGAGGGAAAACCUUCGAGACGCUGACGCAAAGCACGCAACGUUUGGCAAGGGUGAAAAGGUGGGGUAAGAGCCCACCGCUCCGGUGGUGACGCCGGAGGCACGGAAAACCCCGCGCGGUGCAAGGCCAAAUAGGAGGGGAGAGCCGGCCCGGCUCGUUGAGCACAUCUUCUUGCGAAGACGUGCUCCGUUCAUUGCGGAGAAAGCCGCGGCGAACGAAAACCCUCGGGUAGGCUGCUCGAGUUACGGUGCGAACCGUGACCUAGAAGAAUGAUCGCCGCGGUGCGCCUUUCGUUUCGCGAAUGGCGCACUCGACAGAAUCCGGCUUAUAUGGCUCAUCCGCUUC
rnacentral:RNase_P_RNA from 3 species